UACGUAGGUGGCGAGCGUUGUCCGGAUUUACUGGGCGUAAAGAGCGCGCAGGCGGUCGUGCAAGUCGCGUGUGAAAGCCCCCAGCUCAACUGGGGAGGGUCACGCGAUACUGCUCGACUCGAAGGCAGGAGAGGGAAGUGGAAUUCCCGGUGUAGUGGUGAAAUGCGUAGAUAUCGGGAGGAACACCAGUGGCGAAGGCGACUUCCUGGCCUGUUCUUGACGCUGAGGCGCGAAAGCUAGGGUAGCAAACGGG
rnacentral:rRNA from 1 species